rnacentral:tRNA from 1 species
GCCGACGUGGCGGAAUGGCAGACGCACGGGACUUAAAAUCCUGCGAGCGCAAGCUCAUGUGGGUUCGACUCCCACCGUCGGCA